GCCAAUGCUAAAACCGCUGGAAGAUGAGCCUUAGGGACCUGGGAAAGAAGUAUGGGCGUCUAGCUGAAAUGAAGAAAUAGAGAUUCAAAGAAGUCAAGUAACUUGCUUAUAGUUGCACAGCUGAUAAAAGGCAGACAUUUGUUGAACGCCCAGCAUAUGCGAGGUACCGUGCCAGACCCUAAGGAAAUGAAGGUGACGUCAGCGUUCUUGCCCCCAAGGAGCUCGCAGCCUGGCAAAAAGCAUUUGGAUGUGACAAGUAGGAAUGUGGAUGGACUCAACCCUCUGGCCCCUUCGCCGGAAGCCAUGGAAGCACCCUAGCCUUCACUGAUUUCUGCAGGUGCACAACCAGCCGUUUCCAUUAUGGAGUCUCCUCUCCCUGCUUCUGC